CGGAGAGUAGCUCAGCUUGGUAGAGCACCUGCUUUGGGAGCAGGGGGUCGCAGGUUCGAUUCCUGUCUCUCCGACCA
rnacentral:tRNA from 1 species